UCUGUGAACAUUGGUGCACGGAGCUGCGUUAGAGGUGCUGGGUGAUCGCGGCAGCUCUGUGAACAGUGGUGAUGGAGUCGUGUUCAGGAAAGGUGCUGGGGCUGUACUAGGGGCAGCUCUUGUGAACUGGUGUGAUGAGAGCGUGUAUCGGAGGUGCUGGGGCUGUAUCGGGCAGCUCUGUGAACAGUGGUGAUGGAGCGUGUUAGGAGGUGCUGGGGUGGG
rnacentral:lncRNA from 1 species